GCCCAUUUAGCUCAUGUGGAUGAGCGUCGGAUUGAAAUCCCGAGGGAGCUGGUUCGACUCCAGCAAUGGGCAC
rnacentral:tRNA from 1 species